GUAGAGGAGGUAGGUAGCCUAGUGGUUAGAGUGUAGAGGAGGUAGGUAGACUAGUGGUUAGAGUGUAGAGGAGGCAGGUAGCCUAGUGGUUAGAGUGUAGAGGAGGCAGGUAGACUAGUGGUUAGAGUGUAGAGGAGGUAGGUAGUCUAGUGGUUAGAGUGUAGAGGAGGCAGGUAGUCUAGUGGUUAGAGUGUAGAGGAGGUAGGUAGCCUAGUGGUUAGAGUGUAGAGGAGGUAGGUAGACUAGUGGUUAGAGUGUAGAGGAGGCAGGUAGUCUAGUGGUUAGAGUGUAGAGGAGGCAGGUAGACUAGUGGUUAGAGUGUAGAGGAGGUAGGUAGACUAGUGGUUAGAGUGUAGAGGAGGCAGGUAGCCUAGUGGUUAGAGUGUAGAGGAGGCAGGUAGCCUAGUGGUUAGAGUGUAGAGGAGGCAGGUAGCCUAGUGGUUAGAGUGUAGAGGAGGCAGGUAGUCUAGUGGUUAGAGUGUAGAGGAGGUAGGUAGUCUAGUGGUUAGAGUGUAGAGGAGGUAGGUAGUCUAGUGGUUAGAGUGUAGAGGAGGCAGGUAGUCUAGUGGUUAGAGUGUAGAGGAGGUAGGUAGUCUAGUGGUUAGA